UUGCAAUAUAUUUGUAAUGAAUAAUGGUAUUCUUGUGUACUUACAAUAAUACUAAACUUUUUACACCAAUACAAGCAAUGAAAUCAUAGUCUCUAGAGAUUGGGAAGAUGUUUUACAGCCUAAGCAGAAGCUGAUACCUAUAUUGGAACAUAUAAUCUCUACUAAAGCUACAUUAAAAUAUUCAAUACAGAGUGGUACAUUAAAAUAUUCAAUAGAGUGGUAGAUUAAAAUAUUCAAUACAGAGUUGUGCUUGUACCUCUCCUUAGGGAAAUCCUCAAACAAAUAAAAAAUGAUGUAAAGAAUACCACUAAACUCUAGUUAUAGACCAGCAGUGACUACUCUCCUGCUCUCAUAAACAUGAAUCACCAGAUUCGGAUUUUUCAGAACGAAUUUGACAUAAAAGAAUAAUACAUGACUAUAACUGAUGCUCAAUAAAUAACAAGGUUAAGCUGAUUGAUUCUAAUUGGCAGAUUCUUUCUUAAAUUGAGUGCGGUAAUCUUCCAUUUCAUUGACCCAUAGAUCAGCAAAUUCACAGUUUUUCCAAGCUUCAAACCAUGGCCCUCCACGAGUAUAAUGAAUGGCCUUGGGCAAAGUAAGAGGAUCGUUUUCAACAACCUUGUUAUGUCCCUCAAGAAAAUUCCAAACAAAAGGAAUGGAUCCAAUUUCAUCAUCCUCUAGCCAUUGAAACCUGUGAAGAAAAGCACCAGUCUGUGUGUUGACAGUCUCGGGAGUUAGAACACGGUUCUUUGGAUGACCACAGUUAUAAAGAACCAUUGAAGACCAAUUCUUUCUUGGGUACACAGUUUGCACUGCCCCAUCCAUCUUAGUAGUCUCCUUUGGAGCAUAGUCAUGCUGAACACACAUGAUAGCAUACUUGUCCUCAAUCAAGUCUCUCAGUUCCUUGAUAUCAGCCAAGUAGAGAAAAUCACAAUCCACAAACAUAGCCCAACCUUGAUAACUGGCAAGGCAAGGUGUCAAGAACCUGGAAAAGGAAAACUCGGUACUCUCAAACUGACCCCUCUCACGCCAAUACAAACCACUCUUUCUCAGAUCUGACUGCUUAAUCGGUAUGAUCUCAACGGGAAUUGAAGACCUUUUCAAGAUGGAGUGCCGACAUACCUCAAAGGCAAGAUCUUCACUCGGGUCAUACCCAACGAAGAUCUUGAACAACUUGCUCUCAUCGUUCACAAUCUCACC
rnacentral:sRNA from 1 species